CGUAGGGUGCAAGCGUUGUCCGGAAUUAUUGGGCGUAAAGAGCUCGUAGGCGGUUUGUUGCGUCGGCUGCGAAAUCCCGAGGCUCAACCUCGGGUCUGCAGUCGAUACGAGCAAACUAGAGUGUUGCAGGGGAGACUGGAAUUCCUGGUGUAGCGGUGAAAUGCGCAGAUAUCAGGAGGAACACCGGUGGCGAAGGCGGGUCUCUGGGCAACAACUGACGCUGAGGAGCGAAAGCGUGGGGAGCGAACAGGAUUAGAUACCCUGGUAGUCCACGCCGUAAACGUUGGGCGCUAGGUGUGGGGCUCAUUCCACGAGUUCCGUGCCGCAGCUAACGCAUUAAGCGCCCCGCCUGGGGAGUACGGCCGCAAGGCUA
rnacentral:rRNA from 1 species